AGUGAACGCUGGCGGUAGGCCUAACACAUGCAAGUCGAACGGCAGCACAGUAAGAGCUUGCUCUUACGGGUGGCGAGUGGCGGACGGGUGAGGAAUACAUCGGAAUCUACUUUUUCGUGGGGGAUAACGUAGGGAAACUUACGCUAAUACCGCAUACGACCUACGGGUGAAAGCAGGGGAUCUUCGGACCUUGCGCGAUUGAAUGAGCCGAUGUCGGGUUAGCUAGUUGGCGGGGUAAAGGCCCACCAAGGCGACGAUCCGUAGCUGGUCUGAGAGGAUGAUCAGCCACAUUGGAACUGAGACACGGUCCAGACUCCUACGGGAGGCAGCAGUGGGGAAUAUUGGACAAUGGGCGCAAGCCUGAUCCAGCCAUACCGCGUGGGUGAAGAAGGCCUUCGGGUUGUAAAGCCCUUUUGUUGGGAAAGAAAAGCAGCAGGUUAAUACCCCGCUGUUCCGACGGUACCCAAAGAAUAAGCACCGGCUAACUUCGUG
rnacentral:rRNA from 1 species